UUUAUAUAUGUAUGUAAUGAAGUGGGCCGUAAUAACCCAAAAUAACCGCGAGAAAAAUUAGAAAUUUUUUUUUGGAUAAUUGAAACAAAAAUCAAUAAAUUUUUUUACAGUUUAAAUUUUUUUAGAAAGUUAAAAAAAAUUGAACAAAAU
ensembl:ncRNA F47F2.4 ncRNA